GUUGGAGUGGAGUAGUAGUUUAACUCGCCGCCCUCCCAAACCUCAUAUGAGGUGAGAGUCGGCGGAGACCCGGGUGCGAAUCCCGGCUCCAGCA